GAAACAAUUGGGGACCCCCCCAAAAAAUUUUGGGGACCCCAACAAGAAUUUGGGGAACCCCCCCAAAGAAUUUUGGGGAACCCCCCAAAAAAGUUAGGGACCCCCCCAAAAUUUUGGGGAACCCCCCCAAAAAAUUCGGGGAGCCCCUCAAUUUUGGAGACCCCCACAAAAAAAAUUUGGGGACCCCCCCCAAAAAGAUUAGGGACAGCACAAAAUUUUGGGGACCCCCCCCAAAAACAAAUUGGGGACCCCUUCAAAAAUUUUGGGGACCCUCCAAGAAUUGGGGGACCCCCUCAAAAUUUUGGGGACCCGCACCAAAAAAAUUUGGGGAACCCGCCUAAAAAUUUGGGGACCCCCCCCAAAAAAAUUGGGGACCACUCCAAAUUUUUGCGAACUCCCCGAAAAUUUUGGGAACCUCCCCAAAAAAUUCGGGGACCCCCCCCAAAAAAGUUGGGGAACCCCCCAAAAUUCUGGGGAAUUCCCCAAAACGUUUGGGGACCCCCUCAAAAUUUUGGGACCCCCCAAAAAAAUUUGGGGACACCCCCAAAAUUUUGGGCACCCCCACAAACAAAUUGGAGACCCCCCAGAAAUUUGGGGAACUCCCCAAAAUUUUGCGUUGUCCUCAGACUUUUUGGGGAGUUCUGCAAAAUUUUGGGGACACCCCCAAAAAAAUUUGGGAACACCCCUACAAAUUUUCGGGACCCCCCCCAAAAAUCUGGAGACACCCCCAAAAUUUUGGGGGACCCACCUUAAAUUUUGGGACCUCCCAAAAUUUUGGGGACCCCCCCAAACAAAUUGUGGGCCCCAAAAAAUUCGGGGAACCCCCAAAAAAAUUUGGGAAACUCUCCCCCAAAAAUUUAGGACCCCCCCAAAAAAUAUGGGGACCCCCCCAAAAAUCUAGGACCCCCCCAAAAUUUAGGGACCCCCCAAAAUUUUGGGGACCCCCCUCAAAUAUUGGGGACCCCCCCCAAAAAAAUUUGGGGAACCCCUUCCCCAAAAAUUUAGGAACCCCCCAAAAAUUUGGGGCCCCCCCCA
rnacentral:lncRNA from 1 species